AUAGCUCAGUGGUGGAGUGCAUGCCUAGCAUGCAUGAGGUCCUGGGUUCAAUCCCCAGU
rnacentral:tRNA from 1 species